UUGACCUCGGAUCAGGUAGGGUUACCCGCUGAACUUAAGCAUAUCAAUAAGCGGAGGAAAAGAAACCAACAGGGAUUGCCCCAGUAACGGCGAGUGAAGCGGCAACAGCUCAAAUUUGAAAUCUGG
rnacentral:rRNA from 1 species